rnacentral:rRNA from 1 species
GACGAACGCUGGCGGCGUGCUUAACACAUGCAAGUCGAACGGAAAGGCCCUGCUUUUGUGGGGUGCUCGAGUGGCGAACGGGUGAGUAACACGUGAGUAACCUGCCCUUGACUUUGGGAUAACUUCAGGAAACUGGGGCUAAUACCGGAUAGGAGCUCCUGCUGCAUGGUGGGGGUUGGAAAGUUUCGGCGGUUGGGGAUGGACUCGCGGCUUAUCAGCUUGUUGGUGGGGUAGUGGCUUACCAAGGCUUUGACGGGUAGCCGGCCUGAGAGGGUGACCGGCCACAUUGGGCCUGAGAGACGGCCCAGAAUCCUACGGGAGGCAGCAGUGGGGAAUAUUGCACAAUGGGCGGAAGCCUGAUGCAGCAACGCCGCGUGCGGGAUGACGGCCUUCGGGUUGUAAACCGCUUUCGCCUGUGACGAAGCGUGAGUGACGGUAAUGGGUAAAGAAGCACCGGCUAACUACGUG